rnacentral:rRNA from 1 species
UACGGAGGGGGCUAGCAUUGUUCGGAAUUACUGGGCGUAAAGCGCACGUAGGCGGACUGUUAAGUCGGGGGUGAAAUCCCGGGGCUCAACCCCGGAACUGCCUUCGAUACUGGCAGUCUAGAGGAAGGUAGAGGCUAGUGGAAUGGCGAGUGUAGAGGUGAAAUUCGUAGAUAUUCGCCGGAACACCAGUGGCGAAGGCGACUGGCUGGACCUUUUCUGACGCUGAGGUGCGAAAGCGUGGGGAGCAAACCGG